rnacentral:rRNA from 1 species
CAAUUAUACGGCGAAACUGCGAAUGGCUCAUUAUAUAAGUUAUCGUUUAUUUGAUAGUACCUUACUACUUGGAUAACCGUGGUAAUUCUAGAGCUAAUACAUGCUUAAAAUCCCGACUUCGGAAGGGAUGUAUUUAUUAGAUUAAAAACCAAUGCCCUUCGGGGCUCUCUGGUGAUUCAUGAUAACUUCUCGAAUCGCAUGGCCUUGCGCCGGCGAUGGUUCAUUCAAAUUUCUUCCCUAUCAACUUUCGAUGUUUGGGUAUUGGCCAAACAUGGUUGCAACGGGUAACGGAGGGUUAGGGCUCGACCCCGGAGAAGGAGCCUGAGAAACGGCUACUACAUCCAAGGAAGGCAGCAGGCGCGCAAAUUACCCAAUCCCGACUCGGGGAGGUAGUGACAAUAAAUACUGAUACAGGGUUCUUUUGGAUCUUGUAAUUGGAAUGAGUACAAUUUAAAUCCCUUAACGAGGAACAAUUGGAGGGCAAGUCUGGUGCCAGCAGCCGCGGUAAUUCCAGCUCCAAUAGCGUAUAUUAAAGUUGUUGUGGUUAAAAAGCUCGUAGUUGAACCUUGGGCCUGGCUGGCCGGUCCGCCUCACCGCGUGUACUGGUCCGGCCGGGCCUUUCCCUCUGUGGAACCCUAUGCCCUUCACUGGGUGUAGCGGGGAAACAGGACUUUUACUUUGAAAAAAUUAGAGUGCUCCAGGCAGGCCUUUGCUCGAAUACAUUAGCAUGGAAUAAUAAAAUAGGACGUGUGGUUCUAUUUUGUUGGUUUCUAGGACCGCCGUAAUGAUUAAUAGGGACAGUCGGGGGCAUCAGUAUUCAAUUGUCAGAGGUGAAAUUCUUGGAUUUAUUGAAGACUAACUACUGCGAAAGCAUUUGCCAAGGAUGUUUUCAUUAAUCAGGAACGAAAGUUAGGGGAUCGAAGACGAUCAGAUACCGUCGUAGUCUUAACCAUAAACUAUGCCGACUAGGGAUCGGACGAUGUUAAAAAUUGACUCGUUCGGCACCUUACGAGAAAUCAAAGUGCUUGGGCUCCAGGGGGAGUAUGGUCGCAAGGCUGAAACUUAAAGAAAU